GUUGUUCGUUGGAUUUACAUUUACAUUUAUUAAUAUCAUCUACAAAUAUCAAAGCAAUUCUAACAACAAUGGAUCUCUGGGCUCUUGCAUCGAUGAAGAACGCAGCAAGACGCGAAAUGUGUCAUGACAUGCACUCUUUGUGAAUGACGAAUAUUUGAACGCACCUUGCACCGUGACACUGUUCACGGUAUGAGCGUUUGAGCGUGGGAUAUACUGGUGGUUGGCGACUGGUGCAUGUACGUGUGCCGGUUGCUGAAAUACAGAGCAGAGUAGAUGCUCGUGUCUGGAUAACAUCCUUAGGCGCGAGCAUCUACACGACGCUACGAGGAACACCUCAAAACACAAAAACCCUGCCUCAGACGCUCAAGAUGACCCGCUGAACUUAGGCAUAUCAGUAAGCGGAGGAAAAGAAACUAACAAGGAUUCCCUCAGUAACGGCGAGUGAAGCGGGAAGAGCUCAAAUUUGGAAACGCCGUUAAAAGCGUGUUGUAUUUGAGAGGGCGGUAACUUGGUGAAGCGCUGUGUACGUGACUGUGCUGGAAAGCACGACCGCAGAGGGUGACAGUCCCGUGACGUGCACAGCCUUUACUAAUUUGUCACUGCCCGACGAGUCGGAUUGUUUGGGAAUGCAGUCCUAAAUGGGUGAUACAUGUCAUCUAAAGCUAAAUAUGGGCAAGAGACCGAUAGCAAACAAGUACCGUGAGGGAAAGAUGAAAAGGACUUUGAAAAGAGAGUCAAAAGUACGUGAAAUUGUUGUGAGGGGAACGCUUGCGGGGUGCGCAGGUUAGUGUUAGGGUUAGGAUGUGGGAUGACGGCAGAACGGGACGUGGCACUUGUUCGCUUGUGCACUAUAACCGGUCUGACCCUGCCC
rnacentral:rRNA from 1 species